rnacentral:tRNA from 1 species
GCCUCCGUGGCGCAAUCGGCUAGCGCGUUCGGCUGUUAACCGAAAGGUUGGUGGUUCUAGCCCACCCGGGGGCG